UACGGGGGGGGCAAGCGUUGUUCGGAAUUACUGGGCGUAAAGGGUUCGUAGGUGGCUCGCUAAGUCGGACGUGAAAUCCCUCAGCUUAACUGGGGAACUGCGUCCGAUACUGGAUGGCUUGGAUUUGGGAGAGGGAUGCGGAAUUCCAGGUGUAGCGGUGAAAUGCGUAGAUAUCUGGAGGAACACCGGUGGCGAAGGCGGCAUCCUGGACCAAUAUUGACGCUGGGGAGCGAAAGCUAGGGGAGCAAACGGG
rnacentral:rRNA from 1 species